rnacentral:rRNA from 1 species
GCCAGACUCCUACGGGAGGCAGCAGUGGGGAAUAUUGGGCAAUGGAGGCAACUCUUACCCAGCAAUGCCGCGUGAAUGAAGAAGGUCUUCGGAUUGUAAAGUUCUUUAAUUGGGGACGAAAAAAAUGACGGUACCCAAGGAAUAAGCCCCAGCUAACUACGUGCCAGCAGCCGCGGUAAUACGGAGGAUGCGAGCGUUAUCCGGAUUUAUUGGGUUUAAAGGGUGCGUAGGCGGAAUGCCAAGUCAGCGGUAAAAUCGCGGGGCUCAACCUCGCUCCGCCGUUGAAACUGGCGUUCUUGAGUGGGCGAGAAGUAUGCGGAAUGCGUGGUGUAGCGGUGAAAUGCAUAGAUAUCACGCAGAACUCCGAUUGCGAAGGCAGCGCACCGGCGCCCUACUGACGCUCAGGCACGAAAGCGUGGGUAUCGAACAGGAUUAGAUACCCGUGUAA